rnacentral:piRNA from 1 species
UGCUAGGAAGCUAAACAGGGUGCCAGGCAGU